ACUCCUACGGGAGGCAGCAGUAGGGAAUCUUCCACAAUGGGCGCAAGCCUGAUGGAGCAACACCGCGUGAGUGAAGAAGGGUUUCGGCUCGUAAAGCUCUGUUGUUAAAGAAGAACACGUAUGAGAGUAACUGUUCAUACGUUGACGGUAUUUAACCAGAAAGUCACGGCUAACUACGUGCCAGCAGCCGCGGUAAUACGUAGGUGGCAAGCGUUAUCCGGAUUUAUUGGGCGUAAAGAGAGUGCAGGCGGUUUUCUAAGUCUGAUGUGAAAGCCUUCGGCUUAACCGGAGAAGUGCAUCGGAAACUGGAUAACUUGAGUGCAGAAGAGGGUAGUGGAACUCCAUGUGUAGCGGUGGAAUGCGUAGAUAUAUGGAAGAACACCAGUGGCGAAGGCGGCUACCUGGUCUGCAACUGACGCUGAGACUCGAAAGCAUGGGUAGCGAACAGGAUUAGAUACCCCUGGUAGGAUA
rnacentral:rRNA from 1 species